rnacentral:tRNA from 1 species
GCCUGGGUGGCUCAGUCAGUUAAGCGUCUGACUUCGGCUCAGGUCAUGAUCUCGCGGUUCGUGAGUUCAAGCCCCGCGUCAGGCU